rnacentral:rRNA from 1 species
UACGUAGGGUGCAAGCGUUAAUCGGAUUUAUUGGGCGUAAAGGGCGUGUAGACGGGGGAUUAAGUCAGAUGUGAAAUCCCGGGGCUCAACCCCGGAACAGCAUUUGAAACUAAUUCUCUAGAGGGUAGACGGAGAAAACGGAAUUCCACAAGUAGCGGUGAAAUGCGUAGAUAUGUGGAAGAACACCAGUGGCGAAAGCGGUUUUCUAGUUUAUACCUGACGUUGAGGCGCGAAAGCUAGGGGAGCAAACAGG